UUGAAGUCUGGGUUCUAAAACACUGCAAAAAAGGAGUGUCUAAAAACAAGAUAAAAACACUAAAUCUGAGGGAAAAGGUACUCAAAACAAGUGAAA